GAUGAACGCUGGCGGCGUGCCUAAUACAUGCAAGUCGAGCGCACGGAUGAGGAGCUUGCUCCUCUGAUGUUAGCGGCGGACGGGUGAGUAACACGUGGAUAACCUACCUAUAAGACUGGGAUAACUUCGGGAAACCGGAGCUAAUACCGGAUGAUAUAUUGAACCGCAUGGUUCAAAAGUGAAAGACGGUCUUGCUGUCACUUAUAGAUGGAUCCGCGCUGCAUUAGCUAGUUGGUAAGGUAACGGCUUACCAACGCAACGAUGCAUAGCCGACCUGAAAGGGUGUUCGGACACACGGGAACAGAGACAGGGUCCAGACUCCGACGAGAGGAAGCAGUAGGGAAUCUUCCGCGAGGGGGGAAAGCGGGACGGAGCAACGCCGCGUGAGUGAUGAAGGUCUUCGGAUGGGAAAACUAUGAUAUUAGGAAAGAACAAAUGUGUAAGUAACUGUGAACAUCAUGACGGUACCUAAACAGAAAGCCACGGCUAACUACGUG
rnacentral:rRNA from 1 species